GCAGGUUUAUUGGAUUCGAGCAGACCAGACUCCUCUUCCAGCAGCAGCACAACCAAAGAGCCAAACAUUAGCGUCGAAAGCUGUAAUCAAACGUGCAAUCCUUCAAAAAAUCUCACAUGUUCAAAUGGCACCUGCUUCUGCGUACUUCUGAACAACGCUACCGAAGGCACUUGUUACACCUGGUCGGGAGACGGAAUCGAUGAAUACUAUGACCCUUCAAAUGACAGUCUAGAUGCGGCCACACCACGAGCACAAAAUGGAGAUAAAUAAAGAACUCGUUCUCAUCAAA